GUACUCGCAUCGGCGGUAAAUAUACUAAAAUUGGAACGAUACAGAGAAGACUAGCAUGGCCCCUGCGCAAGGAAGGAAAAAAAGACCGUUGAUGUAUAUCAACGCCUA